rnacentral:rRNA from 1 species
AGGUCCUACGGGGCGCAGCAGUGAGGAAUAUUGGUCAAUGGGCGAGAGCCUGAACCAGCCAAGUCGCGUGAAGGAUGACGGCCCUACGGGUUGUAAACUUAUUUUGCCAGGGAGAAAUUGGGUCCACGUGUGGGCUUAGCGAGAGUACCUGAAGAAAAAGCAUCGGCUGACUCCGUGCCAGCAGCCGCGGUAAUACGGAGGAUGCGAGCGUUAUCCGGAUUUAUUGGGUUUAAAGGGUGCGUAGGCGGAAUAUCAAGUCAGCGGUAAAAAUUCGGGGCUCAACCCCGUCGUGCCGUUGAAACUGA